rnacentral:rRNA from 1 species
AUUGAACGCUGGCGGCAUGCCUUACACAUGCAAGUCGAACGGCAGCAUGGAAGAGCUUGCUCUUCUGAUGGCGAGUGGCGAACGGGUGAGUAAAGCAUCGGAACGUACCGUGUAGUGGGGGAUAACGUAGCGAAAGUUACGCUAAUACCGCAUACGCACUGAGGUGGAAAGCAGGGGAUCGCAAGACCUUGCGCUAUACGAGCGGCCGAUGUCAGAUUAGCUAGUUGGUAGGGUAAAGGCCUACCAAGGCGACGAUCUGUAGCGGGUCUGAGAGGAUGAUCCGCCACACUGGGACUGAGACACGGCCCAGACUCCUACGGGAGGCAGCAGUGGGGAAUAUUGGGACAAUGGGCGCAAGCCUGAUCCAGCAAUGCCGCGUGGGUGAAGACGGCCUGCGGGUUGUAAAGCCCUUUAAGCGGGGAGGAACGCCGGAACGCGGAAUACCGUUUCGGACUGACGUUACCCGCAGGAAUAAGCACCGGCUAACUCCGUG